ACAAAACCUGGACCUGUACCUUCCCUGGUCCAGUCCCUGGUCACCCUGGAGUACCGGAUACCCACCACAGUGCCACAGACCAUCGGCGGAACACCAGGGCAAGUGUACUAGUACAACAUGCAGUGCCACGACAGUCAGCGGCAGAUGACGGGAGAUUUUGGAGGCAAAUGACGCCAUGUUUGCCCGGUCGCGCUGCGAGGGCGGCCCCACAAUUCUCACCCUCGCCGCCAUAGAGACUUAAGGCAGCUGUGGAUAUCCUGUUAUAAAAUCCCCUGAGAAGAAGCUCCCAAAGAGCAG